UACGUAGGUGGCAAGCGUUGUCCGGAAUCACUGGGCGUAAAGGGCGCGUAGGCGGCGCGGGCAGUCAACGGUGAAAGCUCGGAGCUCAACUCCGAGUCGGCCGUCGAUACUCCCGUGCUUGAGCACUGUAGAGGCAGAUGGAAUUCCGGGUGUAGCGGUGGAAUGCGUAGAGAUCCGGAAGAACACCGGUGGCGAAGGCGGUCUGCUGGGCAGUAGCUGACGCUGAUGCGCGACAGCGUGGGGAGCAAACAGG
rnacentral:rRNA from 1 species